rnacentral:rRNA from 1 species
UAGUCCACGCAAUAAACGUUGUUCACUAGGUGUAGCGGGUAUUGACCCCUGCUGUGCCGCAGCUAACGCAUUAAGUGAACCGCCUGGGGAGUACGGCCGCAAGGCUAAAACUCAAAGGAAUUGACGGGGGCCCGCACAAGCGGUGGAGCAUGUGGUUUAAUUCGACGCAACGCGAAGAACCUUACCUGGAUUUGACAUCUCGGGAAUUUCUUGGAAACUUGAAAGUGCCCUUCGGGGAGCCCGAUGACAGGUGCUGCAUGGCUGUCGUCAGCUCGUGUCGUGAGAUGUUGGAUUAAGUCCCGCAACGAGCGCAACCCCUAUCUUUAGUUACCAGCACCUCGGGUGGGGACUCUAAAGAUACUGCCUCGGUUAACGGGGAGGAAGGUGGGGAUGACGUCAAGUCCUCAUGGCCUUUAUAUCCAGGGCUACACGCGUGCUACAAUGGGCGGAACAAAGGGUUGCGAUACCGCGAGGUGGAGCUAAUCCCAAAAACCCGUCCCAAGUUCGGAUUGGAGUCCGCAACUCGACUCC